rnacentral:rRNA from 1 species
ACGAACCGUCCAAACGUUAUUCGGAUUCACUGGGCUUAAAGGGCGCGUAGGCGGCCGAGCGGGUCGUGGGUGAAAUCCCCCAGCUUAACUGGGGAACUGCUUACGAUACCACUGCGGCUCGAGGAAGGAAGGGGCAAUUGGAAUUGUCGGUGGAGCGGUGAAAUGCGUUGAUAUCGACAGGAACGCCUGUGGCGAAAGCGAAUUGCUGGUCCUUUUCUGACGCUGAGGCGCGAAAGCCAGGGGAGCAAACGGGAUUAGAUACCCCGGUAGUCCUGGCCUUAAACGAUGAGAACUAGGUAGUGGGUCCGACCUGGGCACACUGCCGAAGCGAAAGUCUUAAGUUCUCCGCCUGGGGAGUAUGGUCGCAAGGCUG